ensembl:lncRNA
GUAUGGCAACCAAAAUCCAAUGUAUUCAAGACGUCAUAAUGGUAACGUCCAAUCAACGUCAAAUUAUAACGUCAUUUGACUUUGAUCUUUAGUUAGUUUUAGGUUGUGGCAUUAACUAACCAAAAUCCAACGUCGAGCCAACGUCUCAAGCCAACGUCACACUGACAUCAAAUACUGAUGUUUUGUCGUCAGGUAUGGCAACCAAAAUCCAACAUCUUGUAGACGUCAUUAUGGUAACGUCCGAUCAACGUCAAGUUAUAACAUCAUUUGAUGUUGAUCUGUAGUUAGUUUUAGGUUGUGGCAUUAACUAACCAAAAUCCAACGUCGAGCCAACGUCUCAAGCCAACGUCACACUGACAUCAAAUACUGAUGUUUUGUCGUCAGGUAUGGCAACCAAAAUCCAACAUCUUGUAGACGUCAUUAUGGUAACGUCCAAUCAACGUCAAGUUAUAACAUCAUUUGAUGUUGAUCUGUAGUUAGUUUUAGGUUGUGGCAUUAACUAACCAAAAUCCAACGUCG